GGCGGAACACGUGAAACUCCGUCGGAAUCCGGGAGGACCAUCUCCCAAGGCUAAAUACUCCCUAGUGACCGAUAGUGAACCAGUACCGUGAGGGAAAGGUGAAAAGCACCCCGGAAGGGGAGUGAAAUAGUUCCUGAAACCAUGUGCCUACAAUUAGUUAGAGCCCGUUAAUGGGUGAUAGCGUGCCUUUUGUAGAAUGAACCGGCGAGUUACGUUUACGUGCAAGGUUAAGUCGAAAAGACGGAGCCGUAGCGAAAGCGAGUCUGAAACGGGCGUUUCAGUACGUAGAUGUAGACCCGAAACCAGGUGACCUACCCAUGUCCAGGGUGAAGGUGCGGUAAAACGCACUGGAGGCCCGAACCCGUGUACG
rnacentral:ncRNA from 1 species